CCAAACGCGUCUGAAGUCUUGUAUUGGAUGAUGGGAAUCUAAACCCUUCCCAGAGUAUCAAUUGGAGGGCAAGUCUGGUGCCAGCAGCCGCGGUAAUUCCAGCUCCAAUAGCGUAUAUUAAAGUUGUUGCAGUUAAGAAGCUCGUAGUUGAAUUUCUGCCUUGUCAUUAAUCUCGCUUCCGAGCGUUUUUUUAUUGACUUGGCAUCUUCUGGAUUUGGUGCCUUCGGGUACUAUUUUCCAGGAUUUACUUUGAGAAAACUAGAGUGUUUCAAACAGGCAUUCGCCUUGAAUACUACAGCAUGGAAUAAUGAAGUAGGACUUUGGUUCUAUUUUGUUGGUUAUUGAGCCAGAGUAAUGGUUAAUAGGAGCAGUUGGGA
rnacentral:rRNA from 1 species